rnacentral:rRNA from 1 species
AGGAUGAACGCUGGCGGCGUGCCUAAUACAUGCAAGUCGAGCGGUAAGGCUACUUCGGUAGUACACGAGCGGCGGACGGCUGAGUAACACGUAGGAACGUACCCCAAAGUGAGGCAUAAGCACCAGAAAUGGUGUCUAAUACCGCAUGUGAUCUUCGGAUUAAAGCUUCGGCGCUUUGGGAACGGCCUGCGCAUGAUUAGCUUGUUGGUGAGGUAAUAGCUCACCAAGGCGACGAUCAUUAGCUGGUCUGAGAGGAUGACCAGCCAGACUGGGACUGAGAACGGCCCAGACUCCUACGGGAGGCAGCAGUGGGGAAUAUUGCGCAAUGGGCGAAAGCCUGACGCAGCGACGCCGCGUGAGGGAUGAAGGCCUUCGGGUUGUAAACCUCUUUCAGCAGGGACGAAGCGAAAGUGACGGUACCUGCAGAAGAAGCACCGGCUAACUACGUGCCAGCACGCCGC